UGCGUAGGCGGAUUAAUAAGUCAGUGGUGAAAACCUGCAGCUUAACUGCAGACCUGCCAUUGAUACUGUUAGUCUUGAGUACGGUCAAGGUAGGCGGAAUGUGUAAUGUAGCGGUGAAAUGCUUAGAUAUUACACAGAACACCGAUUGCGAAGGCAGCUUACUGGGCCAUUACUGACGCUGAGGCACGAAAGCGUGGGGAGCGAACAGGAUUCGAUACCCUGGUAGUCC
rnacentral:rRNA from 1 species